rnacentral:rRNA from 1 species
UCUGGUUGAUCCUGCCAGUAGUGAUAUGCUUGUUUCAAAGAUUAAGCCAUGCAUGUCUAAGUAUAAGCGAACUUAUACAGUGAAACUGCGGAUGGCUCAUUAAUACAGUUUGAAUUUAUUUGAUGAAUGUAUGAGAAUACUACUUGGAUAACCGUAGUAAUUCUAGAGCUAAUACAUGCAACGACGCCCGACCGUUUCACUACGGAAGGGCUGUAUUUAUUGGAUACCAAGACCAUCCUUCCCUCGGGAAGUUUUGUUUGAUGAUUCACAAUAACUGAUCGGAUCGCCACUGUGGUGGCGACAGGUCAUUCAACAUUCUGCCCUAUCAGCUUUCGAUGGUUGUGUAGUGGACAACCAUGGCCAUAACGGGUAACGGAGAAUCAGGGUUCGAUUCCGGAGAAGGAGCUUGAGAAUUGGCUACUACAUCUAAGGAAGGCAGCAGGCGCGCAAAUUACCCAAUCCCGAUUCGGGGAGGUAGUGACAAAAAAUAACAAUACCGGGCCUUUUUGGGCUUGGUAAUUGGAAUGAGGGAGAGUUAAACGGACCAUCGAGUAUCCAUUGGAGGGCAAGUCUGGUGCCAGCAGCUGCGGUAAUACCAGCUCCAAUAGCGUAUAUUAAAGUUGUUGCAGUUAAAAAGCUCGUAGUUGGACUUGUGUGCGCUGUCCGCGGGUGGCCUGCGCCCAAAAGGGCGUUUCGGUUCGGCCCCGGUGGCGCCUUGAAAUCUGCAGCUGGGGGGACGUUGGCCUUAACUGGUCGGCGACCGCACGCCGGCUGCUCGGUUACUGUGAGAAAAUUAGAGUGUUCAAGGCAGGCAUUGGGUGCAAUUGAAUACAUUAGCAAAUAAUAAAAUAUGGCUCCUGCCGUAUUUUGUUGGUUUUGACUGGUGGGAGUAAUGAUUGAUAGGGACGGUUGGGGGUGCUAGUAUUGAGCGGCCAGAGGUGAAAUUCAUGGAUUCGCUCAAGACUAACUUAUGCGAAAGCAUUCACCAAGGACGUCCUCUUUAAUCAAGAACGAAAGUUGGGGGAUCGAAGACGAUCAGAUACCGUCGUAGUCUCAACCAUAAACUAUGUCGACUUGGGAUCGGCGGUAGUUUUUUCAUUAAGACACUGUCGGGACCACGGGAGAAAUCAAAGUGUCUGGACUCUGGGGGAAGUAUGGUCGCAAGGCUGAAACUUGAAGGAAUUGACGGAAGGGCACCACCAGGAGUGGAGCCU